GACGAACGCUGGCGGCGUGCCUAAAACAUGCAAGUCGAACGGCUCGAGCAAUCGGGCAGUGGCGAACGGCGGAGUAAUACAUAAGCAACGUGCCCCGAAGACUGGGAUAGCCAGCCGAAAGGCUGAGUAAUACCGGAUGUGGCCCUCUUUUGGCAUCUUAAGAGGAUUAAAUGGUUUUUCGCUUCGGGAGCGGCUUAUGGCCUAUCAGGUAGUUGGUGAGGUAACGGCUCACCAAGCCUACGACGGGUAGCGGGUCUGAGAGGACGAUCCGCUCGAGUGGGACUGAGACACGGCCCACACACCUACGGGUGGCAGCAGUUGGGAAUCUUGCACAAUGGGGGCAACCCUGAUGCAGCGACG
rnacentral:rRNA from 1 species